rnacentral:snRNA from 1 species
GGAUGUGAGGGCGAUCUGGCUGCGACAUCUGUCACCCCACUGAUCGCCAGGGUUGAUUCGGCUGAUCUGGCUGGCUAGGCGGGUGUCCCCCUCCUCCCUCACCGAUCCAUGUGCGUCCCUCCCGAAGCUGCGCGCUCGGUCGAAGAGGACGACCUUCCCCCCCGAGGAGAGGACCGGUCUUCGGUCAAGGGUAUACGAGUAGCUGCGCUCCCCUGCUAGAACCUCCAAACAAAAUGAGGAUCCAUGUCUGUAGUUGACAUAAACUCUCAAUCAUUAUGUCUUCAUAAAUUGCUCCUUU